CUUUUUCAUCUCGAAUGUCUGAACGGCCAAGUUGAAUCAGCACAAGCAAAAGUAACAGAGCAAAAAUCGCACGUCUUUUCAUUUUCACGUCCAUGAAGCAUGUGUCUAUCAACAAUGAAACUGACUAAUAUUGUUUCCGGUUUUAUAUACAGGUGUAUUGUUAUCAGGGAAUGAGCCACUUUAACAGUCGACAACCACAAAGUUGUUUGCUUAUUCGAAAGACAAUAGUUGAUUUAUUUGAAAGAUUGGUCUUUGAUACUAGUGCAAUCCAGCGGGGAUCUGCU